AGGAAUAAACAUUCUACCAGAAUGAUGUAAUUUAUUAUCUUUCGGAGACAUAUGUAUAAACCCCAUCAGUGGGUAAUAUGUAUAAACCCAUCAGAGGGUAAAAAAAAAAAAAAAAAAAAAAAAAAAAAAAAGGAAAAGCCCAAAACAAAUGGGCUGACAUGUUGUGGAAGGCGAAGACCCAUAAGCCCAAAAUAGCACCAACUAGGUGAUCAAAAGUACGCCCAGUACUCCAAAUUAUACAUG
rnacentral:lncRNA from 1 species